rnacentral:rRNA from 1 species
AACGAACGCUGGCGGCAGGCUUAACACAUGCAAGUCGAGCGCCCCGCAAGGGGAGCGGCAGACGGGUGAGUAACACGUGGGAACCUUCCUAGAGGUACGGAACAACUCAGGGAAACUUGAGCUAACACCGUAUACGCUCUUGCGAGGAAAGAUUUAUCGCCUUUAGACGGGCCCGCGUCGGAUUAGCUAGUUGGUGGGGUAACGGCCUACCAAGGCGACGAUCCGUAGCUGAUCUGAGAGGAUGAUCAGCCACACUGGGACUGAGACACGGCCCAGACUCCUACGGGAGGCAGCAGUGGGGAAUCUUGGACAAUGGGCGCAAGCCUGAUCCAGCCAUGCCGCGUGAGUGAAGAAGGCCUUCGGGUUGAAAAGCUCUUUUGCCAGGGACGAUAAUGACGGUACCUGGAGAAUAAGCCCCGGCAAACUUCGUGCCAGCAGCCGCAGUAAGAC